rnacentral:rRNA from 1 species
UCCUACGGGAGGCAGCAGUGAGGAAUAUUGGUCAAUGGUCGGGAGACUGAACCAGCCAAGCCGCGUGAGGGAGGAAGGUACAGAGUAUCGUAAACCUCUUUUGUCAGGGAACAAAGGCGGGGACGUGUCCCCGGAUGAGUGUACCUGAAGAAAAAGCAUCGGCUAACUCCGUGCCAGCAGCCGCGGGAAUACGGAGGAUGCGAGCGUUAUCCGGAUUUAUUGGGUUUAAAGGGUGCGCAGGCGGUCUGUUAAGUCAGCGGUCAAAGCCCGGGGCUCAACCCCGGCCCGCCGUUGAAACUCGCCGG